UGCACACACUGCCCGUCGCUCCACCCGAGGGAGGCUUGGGUGAGGCCUCUGCCGCAGGGCUGGGGACGAACCUAAGCCUCCUGAGGGGGGAGAAGUCGUAACAAGGUAGCCGUAGGGGAACCUGCGGCUGGAUCACCUCCC
rnacentral:rRNA from 1 species